rnacentral:tRNA from 1 species
GGCAUGAUGGCCGAGCGGUCUAAGGCGACGCACUCAAGUAUUGCGUUGGGAUUUAUCCCGCGUGCGUUCAAAUCGCACUCAUGUCA